rnacentral:rRNA from 1 species
CUUAGCAGAGAUGCUUUGGUGCCUUCGGGAACUCUGAGACAGGUGCUGCAUGGCUGUCGUCAGCUCGUGUUGUGAAAUGUUGGGUUAAGUCCCGCAACGAGCGCAACCCUUAUCCUUUGUUGCCAGCGGUCCGGCCGGGAACUCAAAGGAGACUGCCAGUGAUAAACUGGAGGAAGGUGGGGAUGACGUCAAGUCAUCAUGGCCCUUACGAGUAGGGCUACACACGUGCUACAAUGGCGCAUACAAAGAGAAGCGACCUCGCGAGAGCAAGCGGACCUCAUAAAGUGCGUCGUAGUCCGGAUUGGAGUCUGCAACUCGACUCCAUGAAGUCGGAAUCGCUAGUAAUCGUAGAUCAGAAUGCUACGGUGAAUACGUUCCCGGGCCUUGUACACACCGCCCGUCACACCAUGGGAGUGGGUUGCAAAAGAAGUAGGUAGCUUAACCUUCGGGAGGGCGCUUACCACUUUGUGAUUCAUGACUGGGGUGAAGUCGUAACAAGGUAGGCGUAGCGAG